GACGAACGCUGGCGGCGUGCUUAACACAUGCAAGUCGAACGGAAAGGCCCUGCUUUUGUGGGGUGCUCGAGUGGCGAACGGGUGAGUAACGCGUGAGUAACCUGCCCUUGACUUUGGGAUAACUUCAGGAAACUGGGGCUAAUACCUGAUAGGAGCUCCUGCUGCAUGGUGGGGGUUGGAAAGUUUCGGCGGUUGGGGAUGGACUCGCGGCUUAUCAGCUUGUUGGUGGGGUAGUGGCUUACCAAGGCUUUGACGGGUAGCCGGCCUGAGAGGGUGACCGGCCACAUUGGGACUGAGAUACGGCCCAGACUCCUACGGGAGGCAGCAGUGGGGAAUAUUGCACAAUGGGCGGAAGCCUGAUGCAGCAACGCCGCGUGCGGGAUGACGGCCUUCGGGUUGUAAACCGCUUUCGCCUGUGACGAAGCGUGAGUGACGGUAAUGGGUAAAGAAGCACCGGCUAACUACGUG
rnacentral:rRNA from 1 species